UACGGAAGGUGCAAGCGUUAAUCGGAAUUACUGGGCGUAAAGCGCGCGUAGGCGGCUUGGUAAGUCGGAUGUGAAAGCCCCGGGCUCAACCUGGGAACUGCAUUCGAUACUGCCGGGCUGGAGUACGAGAGAGGGGGGUGGAAUUCCAGGUGUAGCGGUGAAAUGCGUAGAGAUCUGGAGGAACACCAGUGGCGAAGGCGGCCCCCUGGUUCGAUACUGACGCUGAGGUGCGAAAGCGUGGGGAGCAAACAGG
rnacentral:rRNA from 1 species